UGGAGUUGAUGUUUUUUUUUCAUAUUUGUGAAAUUACAGCAACAAUUGGAAAUACAGAGAGAUUACAGAAAAAGACUGAUAAUGAGAGGGGGAGACAGAUAAGGGGAGCAGAAGAUGGUGGAGAGAAAAGGCAAGAAUACAAGAAAGACACAUGAGAAGGGAGAUGAAGCAAAGUGAACACAGAUAGAGAUCGACGGUAUGGGAGAUACAAGCUGUUUGAAGAAGUAGGUUGGUCUGUGUGUGAGGAUAUAGCAAUGAAAGCGCCUUUUUCUCCUGAUGCCAUGCCUAACGCGAUCAGCACUCAUUAAGAGCUCUCCAGAGCCCAGGCACCUCACAGACAGAAACCCUCUCCAAAAGACAACCCCCGAACCCAGUAAACACACACGGCUUCCUGCCUGUAAGCCUCUUCUCCAGUGUAAACAAACUGGCAACCACUUGAAGCACUGGCAAGAAUAUUUAUAUAAAAUGUAAUCCAAAAAAUACA